GAUAUGGGGSSGWAYCYUUGACSGUACCUAUCMRGAAGCMCSGGCWAUUACGUGCAGCAGCGCGGUAUWCGUAGUKGCCAGCGUGUCGAAUWUUGGGCKUAAAGGGCUGCAGGCGGUUUCUUAAGUCUGAUKKGAAAGCCCCCGGCUCAACCCGGGGAGGGUCAUUGGAAACUGGGGAACUUGAGUGCAGAAGAGGAGAGUGGAAUUCCACGUGUAGCGGUGAAAUGCGUAGAGAUGUGGAGGAACACCAGUGGCGAAGGCGACUCUCUGGUCUGUAACUGACGCUGAGGAGCGAAAGCGUGGGGAGCGAACAGGAUUAGAUACCCUGGUAGUCCACGCCGUAAACGAUGAGUGCUAAGUGUUAGGGGGUUUCCGCCCCUUAGUGCUGCAGCUAACGCAUUAAGCACUCCGCCUGGGGAGUACGGUCGCAAGACUGAAACUCAAAGGAAUUGACGGGGGCCCGCACAAGCGGUGGAGCAUGUGGUUUAAUUCGAAGCAACGCGAAGAACCUUACCAGGUCUUGACAUCCUCUGACAAUCCUAGAGAUAGGACGUCCCCUUCGGGGGCAGAGUGACAGGUGGUGCAUGGUUGUCGUCAGCUCGUGUCGUGAGAUGUUGGGUUAAGUCCCGCAACGAGCGCAACCCUUGAUCUUAGUUGCCAGCAUUCAGUUGGGCACUCUAAGGUGACUGCCGGUGACAAACCGGAGGAAGGUGGGGAUGACGUCAAAUCAUCAUGCCCCUUAUGACCUGGGCUACACACGUGCUACAAUGGACAGAACAAAGGGCAGCGAAACCGCGAGGUUAAGCCAAUCCCACAAAUCUGUUCUCAGUUCGGAUCGCAGUCUGCAACUCGACUGCGUGAAGCUGGAAUCGCUAGUAAUCGCGGAUCAGCAUKCYGCRGKGAAUACGUUCCCGGGCCUUGUACACACCGCCCGUCUWUAMCRRCGGAGAGUUUUGUUAACUACUCSCSG
rnacentral:rRNA from 1 species